rnacentral:lncRNA from 1 species
AUCUGAUGCUGUCUGCAAUCCUCAAGAUGACCUUGAACUCAGAGAUUUAAUCUUCUGGAAUCCAUAGCCACUAUGCCUCAAGAUCUCCAUACCAAGAUCCAGAUCAGAAACUUCUAUCUCCCAGCCCCCAGAUAAGGGUCACUGUAACUAUCAUCCUGAGGAGAAGGACUGUGUCCAGGCUCUCUCUACAAUAACCACAACAAGACAGAAAGUCAGGUGCUGCUGUGUGUUGACAGAUCAAUGGUGAGUCAAGAGUGGAUCUACACAGAAGAAUGAAUAAGCACAGGAAUAAACCUCCAGCCACAAUCUUUAUAAAACUCUGAAGAUUAAGAUUAAGACAGUUGAGCACCCUGGCAGACCCUGUAGUCCUCACACUUGGGCAGCUGAGACAGAAAGUUUGCAAGUUCAAGGCCAGGCUGUGCUGCUUUACAAAACUCUGUCUAGAAACAAACAAAACUUUUUUUGUAAAUACAAACUUCAAAUCU